ACUACAAUUUCGCUUUGUGUGUUUAAACAUUUAUUUAGUAAUUUCAGUUGCGAUGUCUGCUCAAAAAUUUGCUUUCUUUUGUGUUCUUUUAAUCGUUGGCACUUGGGGAUUUACCACGGCCGAUUGGUUGGAUGAUUUAAAUGAGGGAACGAGCCGCUUAUUAAGCACUGUAAAUGAAAAUGCUGCCAAAGUGAAUAAUAUUGCCCAGAGUGUUCAUACAAUUGGUCACAUUAUAAGAAAUAUUGAUCCAGAUUCAGAUGAAGAUGAUUAGAAUGUGUUUUAAAUAUGAAUAAUUUUAAUUUUACUUUAAAGAAUAAUAUAAAUAUUAAGUAUAAUAGCUAAUGCUAAUAAAAUUUUGUAAAUAAACUGCUGAAGUUUUCAAAAAA